rnacentral:rRNA from 1 species
AACGCUGGCGGCAGGCCUAACACAUGCAAGUCGAGCGGUAGCACAAGAGAGCUUGCUCUCUGGGUGACGAGCGGCGGACGGGUGAGUAAUGUCUGGGAAACUGCCUGAUGGCGGGGGAUAACUAGUGGAAACGGUAGCUAAUACCGCAUAACGUCGCAAGACCAAAGUGGGGGACCUUCGGGCCUCACGCCAUCAGAUGUGCCCAGGUGGGAUUAGCUGGUAGGUGGGGUAACGGCUCACCUAGGCGACGAUCCCUAGCUGGUCUGAGAGGAUGACCAGCCACACUGGAACUGAGACACGGUCCAGACUCCUACGGGAGGCAGCAGUGGGGAAUAUUGCACAAUGGGCGCAAGCCUGAUGCAGC